UACGAAGGGGGCGAGCGUUGUUCGGAUUUACUGGGCGUAAAGGGCGCGCAGGCGGCUCAUUUUGUCAGGCGUGAAAGCCCCGGGCUUAACCUGGGAACUGCGUUUGAUACGGAUGGGCUAGAGUUCGGGAGAGGAGAGUGGAAUUCCCAGUGUAGAGGUGAAAUCGUAGAUAUUGGGAAGAACACCGGUGGCGAAGGCGGCUCUCUGGACCGAGACUGACGCUGAGGCGCGAAAAGCGUGGGGAGCAAACAGG
rnacentral:rRNA from 1 species